AGGAUCAAUGACGACAGCAGUUGAGUGUGAGUUGCUCAUAGUGAACGUUGAGUGUUUGAAUCUCUGAGGUCCAG